CCUACGGGGGGCUGCAGUGGGGAAUAUUGGACAAUGGGCGAAAGCCUGAUCCAGCAAUACCGCGUGUGUGAAGAAGGCCUGAGGGUUGUAAAGCACUUUCAAUUGGGAGGAAUACCUAUCCCUUAAUACGGGGUAGACUGACAUUACCUUUAGAAGAAGCACCGGCUAACUCCGUGCCAGCAGCCGCGGUAAUACGGAGGGUGCGAGCGUUAAUCGGAAUUACUGGGCGUAAAGCGUGCGUAGGCGGUUAGUUAAGUCAGAUGUGAAAGCCCUGGGCUUAACCUGGGAACUGCAUUUGAUACUGGCUAACUAGAGUUUAAGAGAGGGGAGUGGAAUUUCAGGUGUAGCGGUGAAAUGCGUAGAGAUCUGAAGGAACACCAGUGGCGAAGGCGACUCCCUGGCUUAAAACUGACGCUGAGGUACGAAAGCGUGGGUAGCAAACAGGAUUAGAUACCCCUGUAGU
rnacentral:rRNA from 1 species